GACGAACGCUGGCGGCGUGCUUAACACAUGCAAGUCGAGCGGUAAGGCCCUUUCGGGGGUACACGAGCGGCGAACGGGUGAGUAACACGUGGGUGACCUGCCCUCAGCUCUGGGAUAAGCCUGGGAAACCGGGUCUAAUACCGGAUAUGACUCCAUGACGCAUGUUGUGGGGUGGAAAGCCUUGUGCGGCUGAGGAUGGGCCCGCGGCCUAUCAGCUUGUUGGUGGGGNGAUGGCCUACCAAGGCGACGACGGGUAGCCGGCCUGAGAGGGCGACCGGCCACACUGGGACUGAGACACGGCCCAGACUCCUACGGGAGGCAGCAGUGGGGAAUCUUGCGCAAUGGGACGAAAGCCUGACGCAGCGACGCCGCGUGAGGGA
rnacentral:rRNA from 1 species